UACAGAGGGUGCGAGCGUUAAUCGGAAUUACUGGGCGUAAAGCGCACGUAGGCGGAAUGUUAAGUCAGGGGUGAAAUCCCGGGGCUCAACCCCGGAACUGCCUUUGAUACUGGCAUUCUCGAGUCCGGAAGAGGUGAGUGGAAUUCCGAGUGUAGAGGUGAAAUUCGUAGAUAUUCGCAAGAACACCAGUGGCGAAGGCGGCUCACUGGCCCGGUACUGACGCUGAGGUGCGAAAGCGUGGGGAGCAAACAGG
rnacentral:rRNA from 1 species